GAUGAACGCUGGCGGCGUGCCUAAUACAUGCAAGUCGAGCGAACGGACGAGAAGCUUGCUUCUCUGAUGUUAGCGGCGGACGGGUGAGUAACACGUGGAUAACCUACCUAUAAGACUGGGAUAACUUCGGGAAACCGGAGCUAAUACCGGAUAAUAUUUUGAACGGCAUGGUUCAAAAGUGAAAGACGGUCUUGCUGUCACUUAUAGAUGGAUCCGCGCUGCAUUAGCUAGUUGGUAAGGUAACGGCUUACCAAGGCAACGAUGCAUAGCCGACCUGAGAGGGUGAUCGGCCACACUGGAACUGAGACACGGUCCAGACUCCUACGGGAGGCAGCAGUAGGGAAUCUUCCGCAAUGGGCGAAAGCCUGACGGAGCAACGCCGCGUGAGUGAUGAAGGUCUUCGGAUCGUAAAACUCUGUUAUUAGGGAAGAACAUAUGUGUAAGUAACUGUGCACAUCUUGACGUUACCUAAUCAGAAAGCCACGGCUAACUACGUG
rnacentral:rRNA from 1 species